UACUCUUAAAAGACAGCCUGGAACGCCUGAGAUGGUUAGCAUCCCCAUGCCUCUUACCCAAAGGCAUGGUAUAAAUUUGUUGGUAUGUUUCUUUUUGUGAUAACCUGAUUGAUGUGAUAUGAGAAGUGGAAGUUGAUGCAUUUUGUAAGCAUGAAGAAAAAGCUGAAUGCUUGAGA